rnacentral:lncRNA from 13 species
UCAAGCCCUGCCCUCAGCUCGUGCAGCUCCCCAGGGUGGUUGGCUCAUGGGGGGGUCCAUGAUGUGUCCCUGUCCCAUGUCCCCACCCCACAGGGGCAGGAGAAGCUCAGCUGCAACCCCAAGAAGGAGAAUGGGACUCGUGUGGUACUCUGUGAGUUGGGCAACCCCAUGAAAGCGGGAGCCCAGAUCACCGUGGACUUGGAGCUGAGCGUGUCCGGGCUGGAGGACAUGGGGGACGCCAUCACCUUCCACCUCCAGCUGCGGAGCAAGAACAGCCCCAGCCCCAGCAACGCGUCGGUGACGGUGACAGUGCCCGUGGAGGCAGAGGCAGAGAUGGAGCUGCGAGGGUGAGGGUCUGGG